GAUGAACGCUGGCGGCGUGCCUAAUACAUGCAAGUCGAGCGAACAGACGAGGAGUUUGCUCCUCUGACGUUAGCGGCGGACGGGUGAGUAACACGUGGAUAACCUACCUAUAAGACUGGGAUAACUUCGGGAAACCGGAGCUAAUACCGGAUAAUAUAUUGAACCGCAUGGUUCAAUAGUGAAAUACGGUUUUUCUGUCACUUAUAGAUGGAUCCGCGCCGCAUUAGCUAGUUGGUAAGGUAACGGCUUACCAAGGCAACGAUGCGUAGCCGACCUGAGCGGGUGAUCGGCCACACUGGAAGUGAGACAGGGUCCAGACUCCGACGGGAGGAAGCAGUAGGGAAUCUUACGCAAUGGGCGAAAGCCUGACGGAGCAACGCCGCGUGAGUGAUGAAGGUCUUCGGAUCGUAAAACUCUGUUAUUAGGGAAGAACAAAUGUGUAAGUAACUAUGCACGUCUUGACGGUACCUAAUCAGAAAGCCACGGCUAACUACGUG
rnacentral:rRNA from 1 species